rnacentral:rRNA from 1 species
AGUGAAUAGAUACCCAGGUAGUCCUAGCCGUAAACGAUACUCGCUAGGUGUCGGCCACGGUGCGACCGUUGUCGGUGCCGUAGGGAAAGCCGUGAAGCGAGCCACCUGGGAAGUACGGCCGCAAGGCUGAAACUUAAAGGAAUUGGCGGGGGAGCACCACAACGGGUGGAGCUUGCGGUUUAAAUUGGAUUCAACGCCGGAAAUCUUACCGGGACCGACAGCAAUAUGAAGGCCAGGCUGAAGACUUUGCCGGAUUAGCUGAGAGGUGGUGCAUGGCCGUCGUCAGUUCGUACUGUGAAGCAUCCUGUUAAGUCAGGCAACGAGCGAGACCCACGCCCACAGUUGCCAGCGUACUCUCUGGAGUGACGGGUACACUGUGGGGACCGCCGCUGCUAAAGCGGAGGAAGGAAUGGGCAACGGUAGGUCAGUAUGCCCCGAAUAUCCCGGGCUACACGCGAGCUACAAUGGUUGGUACAAUGGGUAUCUACCCGAAAGGGACGGAAUCUCCUAAACCAAUCUAGUUCGGAUUGAGGGCUGCAACUCGCCCUC